CAUCGCGUUUAAGUCCCAAUUGUUUAUAAAUAUGUGUAAAAGUCGCGAAAGUUAAAAAUCUUUGUAAUCUAUGCUAAUAAGUACUAUGUAGACUGUUUGUAUUCUAAAAGCUCCGAAACCAAUGAACCGAUUAAAAAAAUCCCUACACUGUUUUGAAUGUAUAUCCUCAAAACAGUGCAGUGUACGGAAAAUACGCAUACAUAAAAGAGCUUUGAUAAAAUCUAAAACUACCUACUUAAGAUUAGUGCGAAAUAAUAUAAAACAGUUAGUUUAAUUGUCAAUUAAUGCUAAGGUAUGGACAGCAGUUCCCACGGGAUUUGGGUGAACCGCGAAAGCCAGUGCAGUCGUGGGUGUGUAGCAAGCCUUAUAAGCCUGCGUAGCAACAAGGAGGUCGCCAGGCAAUAUUAUCGAGACGAGAUGAGCAUUCUACUAUAUCUAGAUACCAAGUAUAUUAUAUGCAGCUUCGUUCCUUCCAGAAAACUGACCUGACCUUUAAAAUGACAUAUCUAUGUAUAUAUGUUCCUAACAGAAACAUUACGUUACAUUACCACAUAUAAUUAAAUAGUUACUCUCAUACUAAUUCAGCAGAGCACUGGUCCAUUAGACUUAAAUUUUUCCAUAGCUUUUCUCAAUAAAUGGCUAAGCUAUCUCAUCUCCCGAGCUUUUUCCCAACUUCGUUGGGGUUGGCUUCCAGUUUAACCAGAUGCAGCUGAGUACCGGCGUGCCACGUGGAUCAACCACUUAUCUGAAAUCCUCAACCUGGAUCACCCGCCAUCCCUUGCUAAGACUGGUUGUCAGACUUACUGGCUUCUGACUACCCGUUACGACUGCCAAAUACGUUCAAAUGAUUGACAGAUCAUAACUUAUUUUGAAUGCCAGAGUUCAAAUUUUCUAUAGCCUAUAAGCCGUUCUCAAUAAAUAGGCUAUAUCUAACACAAAUAUACUUUUUAAAAUCGGAUAUAGUUCCGGAAUGUGUGUUCAAGCAAAAAAAUAACUGCAUGAACGAACUAAUCUUAGGAAAAGGAAUGAAAGCCGUCCCGAAUGCUACUCAGUAGCAGUCAUUGUUACAAUUCCACGUCAGAGGCCGUCAGGCGGAUAUGAG